rnacentral:rRNA from 1 species
GUGGGGAAUCUUAGACAAUGGGCGCAAGCCUGAUCUAGCCAUGCCGCGUGAGCGAUGAAGGCCUUAGGGUUGUAAAGCUCUUUCAGUGGGGAAGAUAAUGACGGUACCUACAGAAGAAGCCCCGGCUAACUUCGUGCCAGCAGCCGCGGUAAUACGAAGGGGGCUAGCGUUGUUCGGAUUUACUGUGCGUAAAGCGCACGUAGGCGGAUUGGUCAGUUAGAGGUGAAAUCCCGAAGCUCAACUUCGGAACUGCCUUUAAUACUGCCAGUCUCGAGUCCGGAAGAGGUGAGUGGAACUCCUAGUGUAGAGGUGGAAUUCGUAGAUAUUAGGAAGAACACCAGUGGCGAAGGCGGCUCACUGGUCCGGUACUGACGCUGAGGUGCGAAAGCGUGGGGAGCAAACAGGAUUAGAAACCCUUGUAGUCC